GACGAACGCUGGCGGCGUGCUUAACACAUGCAAGUCGAACGGAAAGGCCCUGCCUUGGUGGGGAGCGGGGGGGGCGAACGGGGGACCAACACGUGAGUACCCUGUCCUUGCCCUAGGGAUGAGUUAAGGAAACUGGGGCUAAUACGGGCUAGGAGCUCCUGCUGCAGGGUGGGGGUGGGAUAGUUUCGGCGGUUGGGGAUGGGCUCGCGGCUCAUCAGGUUGGUGGUGGGGUAGUGGAAUACCAAGGCUUGGACGCGUGGCCGGCCUGCGAGGGUGACCGGCCACAUUGGGCCUGGGAUGCGGCCCAGCCUCCUCCGGGAGGCAGCAGUGCGGAAUAUUGCACUAUGGGCGGAAGCCUGAUGCAGCCACGCCGCGUGCGGGAUGACGUCCUUCGGGUUGUAUACCACUUUCGCCUGUGACGAAGCGUGAGUGACGGUACUGGGUGAAGAAGCACCGGCUAACUACGUG
rnacentral:rRNA from 1 species